rnacentral:rRNA from 1 species
GGCUCAGCCUGAACGCUGGCGGCGUGGCUAAGACAUGCAAGUCGUACGGGCCUAGCAAUAGGCCAGUGGCGGACGGGUGAGUAAUGUAUCGCUAACGUGCCCUAAAGACGGGGAUAGCCGGCCGAAAGGCCGGGUAAUACCCGGUAAGACCCCGGGAUCGCAUGAUCCUGGGCUCAAAGGCCGCAAGGCGCUUUGGGAGCGGGCGAUAUCGUAUCAGCUAGUUGGUAGGGUAACGGCCUACCAAGGCAUCGACGCGUAGCCGGACUGAGAGGUUGGCCGGCCACAUUGGGACUGAGACACUGCCCAGACUCCUACGGGGGGCUGCAGUAACGAAUCUUCCGCAAUGCACGAAAGUGUGACGGAGCGACGCCGCGUGUAGGAUGAAGUCCUUCGGGAUGUAAACUACUGUCAGGGGAAAGAAAGUACUGAUCUACCCCAGAGGAAGGCACGGCUAACUCUGUGCCAGCAGCCGCGGUAAGACAGAGGUGCCAAGCGUUAGGCGGAAUCACUGGGCUUAAAGCGUGUGUAGGCGGAUGCCUAAGUACCUUGUGAAAUCCCCCGGCUCAACCGGGGCAUGGCUGGGUAUACUGGGCGUCUUGAGCCACUUAGGGGCAACCGGAACGAACGGUGGAGCGGUGAAAUGCGUAGAUAUCGUUCGGAACGCCAAAGGUGAAAACAGGUUGCUGGGAGUGAGCUGACGCUGAGACACGAAAGCCAGGGGAGCAAACGGGAUUAGAUACCCCGGUAGUCCUGGCCGUAAACGAUGUCCACUAGAUCGCAGUCGCUCUGACGUGAUUGUGGUCGAAGCCAAAGUGCUAAGUGGACCGCCUGGGAAGUACGGUCG